rnacentral:rRNA from 1 species
GUUGAACGCUGGCGGCGUGCUUAACACAUGCAAGUCGAACGGUAACAGGGUGCUUUCGCCGCUCACGAGUGGCGAGCGGGUGAGUGAUUCAUCGGAAGAUAACGUGUAUUUGGGAAUGGCUCAGCUUAAGCCGAAUUAAUCCCGCAUACGCCCUGAUAUUGAACGGGGAGGACCGAAAGUCCUCGCGUUAUACGAGCAGCCCUCUUCUGAUUAGCUAGUUGCUUAGGUAAAGGCUUACCAAGGCGUCGAUCCGUAGCCGGUCUGAGAGGAUGAUCCGCCACACUUGAACUGAGACACGGCCCAGACUCCUACGGGAGGCAGCAGUGGGGAAUCUUGGACAAUGGGCGCAAGCCUGAUGCAGCCAUGCCGCGUGUGUGAAGAAGGCCUUCGGGUUGUAAAGCACUUUUGUUAGGGAGGAAAUAAUAGGGGUUAAUACCUACUGGUGCUGAGAGUACCGAAAGAAUAAGCACCGGCUAACUACGUG